AUUGAACGCUGGCGGCAGGCCUAAUACAUGCAAGUCGAACGAGUGGCGGACGGGUGAGUAAUGUCUGGGAAACUGCCUGAUGGAGGGGGCUAACUACUGGAAACGGUAGCUAAUACCGCAUACCAUCAGAUGUGCCCAGAUUGGAUUAGCUUGUUGGUGGGGUAACGGCUCAUCAAGGAGACGAUCCCUAGCUGGUCUGAGAGGAUGACCAGCCACACUGGAGCUGAGACACGGUCCAGAGUCCUACGGGAGGCAGCAGUGGGGAAUAUUGCACAAUGGGGGCAAGCCUGAUGCAGCCAUGCCGCGUGUAUGAAGAAGGCCUUCGGGUUGUAAAGUACUUUCAACAGGGGAGCGUUACCCGCAGAAAAGGCACCGGCUAACUCCGUGCCAGCAGGCGCGAUAAUAC
rnacentral:rRNA from 1 species